rnacentral:tRNA from 1 species
CCCCUCUUAGCUCAACGGUAGAGUGUCCGGCUGUAGACCGGAAGGUUCCAAGUUCAAAUCUCGGAGAGGGGACCA